rnacentral:rRNA from 1 species
GUGCCAGCCGCCGCGGUAAUACGGAGGGUGCGAGCGUUAAUCGGAAUUACUGGGCGUAAAGGGUGCGUAGGCGGAAGCUUAAGUCUGAUGUGAAAGCCCCGGGCUUAACCUGGGAAUGGCAUUGGAAACUGGGUUUCUAGAGUGUGGUAGAGGAUAGUGGAAUUUCCAGUGUAGCGGUGAAAUGCGUAGAUAUUGGAAAGAACACCGAUGGCGAAGGCAGCGGUCUGGGCCAACACUGACGCUGAGGUACGAAAGCGUGGGGAGCAAACAGGAUUAGAAACCCUUGUAGUCC